ensembl:snoRNA SNORD73 Small nucleolar RNA SNORD73
AAUAAAUGAUGAAAAAUGUUUCGGUCCCAAUUGAUAUCUAAUGAUAAUACAUUGUUCUGAUAUU